AAUUUACACGACGCAUACAUUCUCUGCUUGGUAUAUUUAAUCCUUUCUGGCCGGCCAUGAUGGACCCACACGGUGAUGGAGGGGAGGCCAUGGGCUAGCGGUUGAGCGGGCCCACGAGAAGCUGCAGGGCGACGGAAGGGCAGCGGCCGAGGAUGGAAGCAGCGUGGGAGAUGGAGAAUUUACUCCACACCUUCGUUUCGUCCGCAUCGAGCUGUCCCGCAAAGGAUUUAUAUUUUUAAAUGGAGGGAGGGAAUAGCAAUCAAAUUUCACACAACUCAGCUAUGUCUAGAUGAUAGAUGCAAGUGGCCUCUUCUUGAUGUGGCUGAACAUGCUGAUGCGCUCCUAGAUGGUGUGCCUUAUACCUAGGAUCUUAUGUGAUGUGUGUCACAGCCUGUCAAAGAUGUGGCAGCCUGGCAGGUGCAGCUGACAAGAAAAACAACCCUUAGACUGUACAAAUUCCAGCUUCACAUUAGGUAUACAUGCUGAAUUUGAGUCUAUGAUAAAUUGUCGUUGAGUCUGUAUUGUCUACCAUCUGAUUGUUCGAAGUUGCGAUUUGGCAUUGAUUGUUGUGUGAUUUAGUUUUCAUGAAUGUUGCUUCCAGGUGCCACAAACCAUUGAUAUUUGUUUGCUUCAUGUUAUCUACGUAUCUGAGGAUUGUGUUCCUCACUUUUGUUGUGGUACAUAUAAAUCAAGCGUAUGAUGCAAUGGUUGUAUA